rnacentral:rRNA from 1 species
CGGGGAACGAUUGGGCUCGGGCACCACUGGAACGGUGGCUAAUACCGGAUAUGCCGAGAGGUAAAAGGUAAACUGCCUGGAGAUGAGCUCGCGUCUGAUUAGCUAGUUGGUGGUGUAAGGGACUACCAAGGCGACGAUCAGUAGCUGGUCUGAGAGGAUGAUCAGCCACACUGGAACUGAGACACGGUCCAGACUCCUACGGGAGGCAGCAGUGGGGAAUUUUCCGCAAUGGGCGAAAGCCUGACGGAGCAAUACCGCGUGAGGGAGGAAGGCUCUUGGGUUGUAAACCUCUUUUCUCAGGGAAUAAGGUCUGAAGGUACCUGAGGAAUCAGCAUCGGCUAACUCCGUGCCAGCAGCCGCGGUAAUACGGAGGAUGCAAGCGUUAUCCGGAAUGAUUGGGCGUAAAGCGUCCGUAGGUAGCAGUGUGUGUCUAUUGUUAAAGAGUUUGGCUUAACCAAAUAAAGGCGGUAGAAACUACACAGCUAGAGUGCGUUCGGGGCAGAGGGAAUUCCUGGUGUAGCGGUGAAAUGCGUAGAGAUCAGGAAGAACACCGGUGGCGAAAGCGCUCUGCUAGGCCGCAACUGACACUGAGGGACGAAAGCUAGGGGAGCGAAUGGGAUUAGAUACACCAGUAGUCCAC